rnacentral:rRNA from 2 species
UUCUAACGUGGACCCGUAAUCCGGGUUGCGGACAGUGUCUGGUGGGUAGUUUGACUGGGGCGGUCUCCUCCUAAAGAGUAACGGAGGAGCACGAAGGUUGGCUAAUCCUGGUCGGACAUCAGGAGGUUAGUGCAAUGGCAUAAGCCAGCUUGACUGCGAGCGUGACGGCGCGAGCAGGUGCGAAAGCAGGUCAUAGUGAUCCGGUGGUUCUGAAUGGAAGGGCCAUCGCUCAACGGAUAAAAGGUACUCCGGGGAUAACAGGCUGAUACCGCCCAAGAGUUCAUAUCGACGGCGGUGUUUGGCACCUCGAUGUCGGCUCAUCACAUCCUGGGGCUGAAGUAGGUCCCAAGGGUAUGGCUGUUCGCCAUUUAAAGUGGUACGCGAGCUGGGUUUAGAACGUCGUGAGACAGUUCGGUCCCUAUCUGCCGUGGGCGCUGGAGAACUGAGGGGGGCUGCUCCUAGUACGAGAGGACCGGAGUGGACGCAUCACUGGUGUUCGGGUUGUCAUGCCAAUGGCACUGCCCGGUAGCUAAAUGCGGAAGAGAUAAGUGCUGAAAGCAUCUAAGCACGAAACUUGCCCCGAGAUGAGUUCUCCCUGAGACUUAGAGUCUCCUGAAGGAACGUUGAAGACGACGACGUUGAUAGGCCGGGUGUGUAAGCGCAGCGAUGCGUUGAGCUAACCGGUACUAAUGAACCGUGAGGCUUAACCUUAC